rnacentral:RNase_P_RNA from 1 species
GUAGGACAAAUGAUCGCGGCUGUCGUAAGACAGGUGAGGAAAGUCCGGGCUUCAUAGGGCAGGAUGCCGGAUAACGUCCGGUGGAGGUGACUCCAAGGAAAGUGCAACAGAAAUAUACCGCCAUCGUUUCCGCACAGUACGGAUUAAAACGGAAAUGUGCACCAAGGGAGAAGAAGACUGCUUGCAGGCUUCUUCAAAAGCUUCCGCAUUGUGCGGAAGCGAUGGUAAGGGUGGAAAGGCAGCUUAAGAGACUACCGCCUGCACGGUAACGGGCAGGGCACAUGUAAACCCCAUCCGAAGCAAGACCAAACAGAAGGCGUUUGAACCGGCCCGGUGAGCCUUCAGGUAGGUCGCUGGAUGCUGCCGGUAACGGCAGUACUAGAUAGAUGAUCAUUCACGACAUAACCCGGCUUAUCGUCCUGCUUG